GCACUCACUUAGGCAGCACAUGAAUUGGAAGGAUACAGAGAAGAUUAGCAUGGCCUCUGCACAAGGAUGACAGGCAAGUUCAUGAAGAAAGAAAUUGAGAG
ensembl:snRNA U6 U6 spliceosomal RNA